rnacentral:rRNA from 1 species
AGGAUGAACGCUGGCGGCGUGCUUAACACAUGCAAGUCGAACGAUGAAGGCUGGAGCUUGCUCUGGCUGGAUUAGUGGCGAACGGGUGAGUAACACGUGAGUAACCUGCCCCAGACUCUGGGAUAAGCGCUGGAAACGGCGUCUAAUACCGGAUACGAGCUUCCACCGCAUGGUGAGGAGCUGGAAAGAAUUUCGGUCUGGGAUGGACUCGCGGCCUAUCAGCUUGUUGGUGAGGUAAUGGCUCACCAAGGCGACGACGGGUAGCCGGCCUGAGAGGGUGACCGGCCACACUGGGACUGAGACACGGCCCAGACUCCUACGGAGCAGCAGUGGGGAAUAUUGCACAAUGGGCGCAAGCCUGACUGCAGCAACGCCGCGUGAGGGACGAAGGCC